CGAACGCUGGCGGCGUGCCUAAUACAUGCAAGUAGAACGCUGAAGAGAGGAGCUUGCUCUUCUUGGAUGAGUUGCGAACGGGUGAGUAACGCGUAGGUAACCUGCCUUGUAGCGGGGGAUAACUAUUGGAAACGAUAGCUAAUACCGCAUAACAAUGGAUGACACAUGUCAUUUAUUUGAAAGGGGCAAUUGCUCCACUACAAGAUGGACCUGCGUUGUAUUAGCUAGUAGGUGAGGUAAUGGCUCACCUAGGCGACGAUACAUAGCCGACCUGAGAGGGUGAUCGGCCACACUGGGACUGAGACACGGCCCAGACUCCUACGGGAGGCAGCAGUAGGGAAUCUUCGGCAAUGGGGGCAACCCUGACCGAGCAACGCCGCGUGAGUGAAGAAGGUUUUCGGAUCGUAAAGCUCUGUUGUAAGUCAAGAACGGGUGUGAGAGUGGAAAGUUCACACUAUGACGGUAGCUUACCAGAAAGGGACGGCUAACUACGUGCCAGCAGCCGCGGUAAUACGUAGGUCCCGAGCGUUGUCCGGAUUUAUUGGGCGUAAAGCGAGCGCAGGCGGUUUGAUAAGUCUGAAGUUAAAGGCUGUGGCUCAACCAUAGUUCGCUUUGGAAACUGUCAAACUUGAGUGCAGAAGGGGAGAGUGGAAUUCCAUGUGUAGCGGUGAAAUGCGUAGAUAUAUGGAGGAACACCGGUGGCGAAAGCGGCUCUCUGGUCUGUAACUGACGCUGAGGCUCGAAAGCGUGGGGAGCGAACAGGAUUAGAUACCCUGGUAGUCCACGCCGUAAACGAUGAGUGCUAGGUGUUGGAUCCUUUCCGGGAUUCAGUGCCGCAGCUAACGCAUUAAGCACUCCGCCUGGGGAGUACGACCGCAAGGUUGAAACUCAAAGGAAUUGACGGGGGCCCGCACAAGCGGUGGAGCAUGUGGUUUAAUUCGAAGCAACGCGAAGAACCUUACCAGGUCUUGACAUCCCGAUGCUAUUUCUAGAGAUAGAAAGUUACUUCGGUACAUCGGUGACAGGUGGUGCAUGGUUGUCGUCAGCUCGUGUCGUGAGAUGUUGGGUUAAGUCCCGCAACGAGCGCAACCCCUAUUGUUAGUUGCCAUCAUUCAGUUGGGCACUCUAGCGAGACUGCCGGUAAUAAACCGGAGGAAGGUGGGGAUGACGUCAAAUCAUCAUGCCCCUUAUGACCUGGGCUACACACGUGCUACAAUGGUUGGUACAACGAGUUGCGAGUCGGUGACGGCGAGCUAAUCUCUUAAAGCCAAUCUCAGUUCGGAUUGUAGGCUGCAACUCGCCUACAUGGAGUCGGAAUCGCUAGUAAUCGCGGAUCAGCACGCCGCGGUGAAUACGUUCCCGGGCCUUGUACACACCGCCCGUCACACCACGAGAGUUUGUAACACCCGAAGUCGGUGAGGUAACCUUUUGGAGCCAGCCGCCUAAGGUGGGACAGAUGAUUGGGGUGAAGUC
rnacentral:rRNA from 1 species